rnacentral:lncRNA from 1 species
GGCUUGGCAUUUUAACAGUUUUUGUUUGCAAGUAAGUGAUUCAUACCUUGUUUCCUUACAGAUUUCAUCUUUACCCCUACAUGGUUGAGCUUUGCUAUCCAACAUCUUCCCUUAGCAUCACAGAAGAGCUGGCUGUGAUUGUGGUCGGGCCUCUAAUGUUGAACACAGUCAUAUUUCUUUUGGUUCUGAUCAGAUGGGGCUGUCAGCUGCUGUUUGCCUCCUGUCCUGAUGUCUUGUCAAAGUUAAUCAUUACCAUGGGACUAUGGACAGUUCUAGACCCAUUGGCGGUGUUUAUAGUGGAUAUUUUCCUGGGGAGACCACAGUUUCAGAACCACUGACACCAUGCCUGAUAGGAGAGCUCUGAUGAGCAGACUGGAGAAUCCAAGAAUGCAACACAGUUCGGAAGGUAGAAACUGGGCAUAGCAGAGGCCCAGUGACACACCCUGGAACCACAACCCUUGCCGGUGACCACAAGCUCUGACCUGCACCUUAGCAUCUUUAUCUAAGUUCCAUUAAGU